rnacentral:misc_RNA from 1 species
GUUUACUCUUCCGCAGCUCCCUCUGCGACCGAAAAUAAGAAGAAAAAUAAAAAUCCUAAUUCACUCAAGUUCAAGUCGGAACCGUACCAUGGACGGCGAGGGGCAACCUUCGACGUCGACGAACUCAGCGUUCUCUUUCAUAACUAAAGGAUGGCGGGAGGUUCGUGACUCGGCCGACGCGGAUCUCCAGCUUAUGCGGGCCCGAGCUAACUCGUUCAAGAACCGAGCUAACCCGUUCAAGAACCUCGCUA